rnacentral:rRNA from 1 species
UACGGAGGGGGCGAGCGUUGUCCGGAAUCACUGGGCGUAAAGGGCGCGUAGGCGGCUGUUUAAGUGUGCGGUGAAAGCCCGGGGCUUAACCCCGGGUCGGCCGUGCCGACUGAAAAGCUGGAGCACUGUAGAGGCAGGUGGAAUUCCGGGUGUAGCGGUGGAAUGCGUAGAGAUCCGGAAGAACACCAGUGGCGAAGGCGGCCUGCUGGGCAGUUGCUGACGCUGAGGCGCGAAAGCUAGGGGAGCAAACAGG